rnacentral:rRNA from 1 species
AUACGUAGGGGGCGAGCGUUGUCCGGAAUGAUUGGGCGUAAAGGGCGCGUAGGCGGCCCGGUAAGUCUGGAGUGAAAGUCCUGCUUUUAAGGUGGGAAUUGCUUUGGAUACUGUCGGGCUUGAGUGCAGGAGAGGUAAGUGGAAUUCCCAGUGUAGCGGUGAAAUGCGUAGAGAUUGGGAGGAACACCAGUGGCGAAGGCGACUUACAGGACUGUAACUGACGCUGAGGCGCGAAAGUGUGGGGAGCAAACAGGAUUAGAUGCCCUGGUAGUCCACGCCGUAAACGAUGAGUGCUAAGUGUUGGAGGGUUUCCGCCCUUCAGUGCUGCAGCUAACGCAUUAAGCACUCCGCCUGGGGAGUACGGCCGCAAGGCUGAAACUCAAAUGAAUUGACGGGG